UACAGAGGUCUCAAGCGUUGUUCGGAUUCAUUGGGCGUAAAGGGUGCGUAGGCGGCGCGGUAAGUCGGGUGUGAAAUCUUGGAGCUUAACUCCGAAACUGCAUUCAAUACUGCCGUGCUUGAGGACUGGAGAGGAGACUGGAAUUUACGGUGUAGCGGUGAAAUGCGUAGAUAUCGUAAGGAAGACCAGUGGCGAAGGCGGGUCUCUGGACAGUUCCUGACGCUGAGGCACGAAGGUCAGGGGAGCAAACGGG
rnacentral:rRNA from 1 species